rnacentral:rRNA from 2 species
GCUCCUCGAUUCAGCGGCGGACGGGUGAGUAAUGCCUAGGAAUCUGCCUGGUAGUGGGGGACAACGUUUCGAAAGGAACGCUAAUACCGCAUACGUCCUACGGGAGAAAGCAGGGGACCUUCGGGCCUUGCGCUAUCAGAUGAGCCUAGGUCGGAUUAGCUAGUUGGUGAGGUAAUGGCUCACCAAGGCGACGAUCCGUAACUGGUCUGAGAGGAUGAUCAGUCACACUGGAACUGAGACACGGUCCAGACUCCUACGGGAGGCAGCAGUGGGGAAUAUUGGACAAUGGGCGAAAGCCUGAUCCAGCCAUGCCGCGUGUGUGAAGAAGGUCUUCGGAUUGUAAAGCACUUUAAGUUGGGAGGAAGGGCAGUGAGCGAAUACCUUGCUGUCUUGACGUUACCGACAGAAUAAGCACCGGCUAACUCUGUGCCAGCAGCCGCGGUAAUACAGAGGGUGCAAGCGUUAAUCGGAAUUACUGGGCGUAAAGCGCGCGUAGGUGGUUGGUUAAGUUGGAUGUGAAAGCCCCGGGCUCAACCUGGGAACUGCAUCCAAAACUGGCCAGCUAGAGUAGGGCAGAGGGUGGUGGAAUUUCCUGUGUAGCGGUGAAAUGCGUAGAUAUAGGAAGGAACACCAGUGGCGAAGGCGACCACCUGGGCUCAUACUGACACUGAGGUGCGAAAGC